rnacentral:rRNA from 1 species
UACGGGGGGGGCAAGCGUUGUUCGGAAUUACUGGGCGUAAAGCGCGCGUAGGCGGCUUUGCAAGCCAGAGGUGAAAUGCCUGAGCUUAACUUGGGAAUUGCCUUUGGGACUGCGAGGCUUCGAGGACUGGAGAGGUGAGUGGAAUUCCCAGUGUAGAGGUGAAAUUCGUAGAUAUUGGGAAGAACACCGGUGGCGAAGGCGGCUCACUGGCCAGUUUCUGACGCUCAAGCGCGAAAGCGUGGGGAUCAAACAGG